UAUGGCCACAUCACAUUGAAAACACCGGUUCCUGUAUGCUCACUAAAGUUAAGCAAUGUUGAACCUGGUCGGUACCUAGAUGGGCUGACUGCUUUGGAAUACCAGGUGCUGUAAG